rnacentral:rRNA from 1 species
GAGCCUGAAUCAGUAUGUGUGUUAGUGGAAGCGUCUGGAAAGGCGCGCGAUACAGGGUGACAGCCCCGUACACAAAAAUGCACAUAUUGUGAGCUCGAUGAGUAGGGCGGGACACGUGGUAUCCUGUCUGAAUAUGGGGGGACCAUCCUCCAAGGCUAAAUACUCCUGACUGACCGAUAGUGAACCAGUACCGUGAGGGAAAGGCGAAAAGAACCCCGGCGAGGGGAGUGAAAAAGAACCUGAAACCGUGUACGUACAAGCAGUGGGAGCACGCUUAGGCGUGUGACUGCGUACCUUUUGUAUAAUGGGUCAGCGACUUAUAUUCUGUAGCAAGGUUAACCGAAUAGGGGAGCCGAAGGGAAACCGAGUCUUAACUGGGCGUUAAGUUGCAGGGUAUAGACCCGAAACCCGGUGAUCUAGCCAUGGGCAGGUUGAAGGUUGGGUAACACUAACUGGAGGACCGAACCGACUAAUGUUGAAAAAUUAGCGGAUGACUUGUGGCUGGGGGUGAAAGGCCAAUCAAACCGGGAGAUAGCUGGUUCUCCCCGAAAGCUAUUUAGGUAGCGCCUCGUGAAUUCAUCUCCGGGGGUAGAGCACUGUUUCGGCAAGGGGGUCAUCCCGACUUACCAACCCGAUGCAAACUGCGAAUACCGGAGAAUGUUAUCACGGGAGACACACGGCGGGUGCUAACGUCCGUCGUGAAGAGGGAAACAACCCAGACCGCCAGCUAAGGUCCCAAAGUCAUGGUUAAGUGGGAAACGAUGUGGGAAGGCCCAGACAGCCAGGAUGUUGGCUUAGAAGCAGCCAUCAUUUAAAGAAAGCGUAAUAGCUCACUGGUCGAGUCGGCCUGCGCGGAAGAUGUAACGGGGCUAAACCAUGCACCGAAGCUGCGGCAGCGACACUAUGUGUUGUUGGGUAGGGGAGCGUUCUGUAAGCCUGUGAAGGUGUGCUGUGAGGCAUGCUGGAGGUAUCAGAAGUGCGAAUGCUGACAUAAGUAACGAUAAAGCGGGUGAAAAGCCCGCUCGCCGGAAGACCAAGGGUUCCUGUCCAACGUUAAUCGGGGCAGGGUGAGUCGACCCCUAAGGCGAGGCCGAAAGGCGUAGUCGAUGGGAAACAGGUUAAUAUUCCUGUACUUGGUGUUACUGCGAAGGGGGGACGGAGAAGGCUAUGUUGGCCGGGCGACGGUUGUCCCGGUUUAAGCGUGUAGGCUGGUUUUCCAGGCAAAUCCGGAAAAUCAAGGCUGAGGCGUGAUGACGAGGCACUACGGUGCUGAAGCAACAAAUGCCCUGCUUCCAGGAAAAGCCUCUAAGCAUCAGGUAACAUCAAAUCGUACCCCAAACCGACACAGGUGGUCAGGUAGAGAAUACCAAGGCGCUUGAGAGAACUCGGGUGAAGGAACUAGGCAAAAUGGUGCCGUAACUUCGGGAGAA